CCUACGGGAGGCAGCAGUGGGGGAUAUUGCACAAUGGGGGAAACCCUGAUGCAGCGACGCCGCGUGUGGGAAGACGGUCCUCUGGAUUGUAAACCACUGUCCCCAGGGACGAAGAUGACGGUACCUGGGGAGGAAGCUCCUGCUAACUACGUGCCAGCAGCCGCGGUAAUACGUAGGGAGCGAGCGUUGUCCGGAAUUACUGGGUGUAACGGGAGCGUAGGCGGGACUGCAAGUUGGGUGUCAAAUCUACCGGCUCAACCGGUAGCCGCACUCAAAACUGCAGUUCUUGAGUGAAGUAGAGGCAGGCGGAAUGCCUAGUGUAGCGGUGAAAUGCGUAGAUAUUAGGAGGAACACCAGUGGCGAAGGCGGCCUGCUGGGCUUUUACUGACGCUGAGGCUCGAAAGUGUGGGGAGCAAACAGGAUUAGAUACCCUGGUAGUC
rnacentral:rRNA from 1 species